AGCAGGAGGAGUGACCCGCUCGCCCACCUGCUCCUUCCCUUGUUUGUAUUAGGUGAACUCCGCCCACAAAUUCAACUGGUAUUAGGUGAAUCAACUGCAACGCCAUGAAAAUCCCUUCCCUCGGAAAUUCACUAGCCAUCCUUCCAUCAAAACAGAAAUAAUGAAUCACUAGGCGUCCUUCAUGACAGAAUCUUUUCUCUCAGAAAUUCAAUAGGCAUCCAUCCAUCCAUUAUUUCUCUCAGAAAUUCAAUAGGUAGGCAUCCAUCCAUCAAGACAGAAAUAAUGAAUCAUUAGGCAUCCAUCUUUCAAAACAGAAAUAAUCAAUUGCCAAUGGCAGCGGCGGCGUUGAGGAAUCUCCAUGCCUGACACAGAUCCCGAAGUUGGGUUGCACAUGUAACUUUCGCCUACGUCUUAUCAAGCUCUUUUUCUAAGAUAGAACAGCAAAUCCGAUGGCUUUCCAGAGAAAAAAAAUGUGGUCUGAAGAAAAAUGAAUAGGUAUUGAAUGAAUGGGCAGUGGCUGUGGGUCGUGCCCAGUGGCGAUGGUGAUAUCCACUUGGGUUUAGCGCACUCGCAUGCCUUUUCCCUUUCCCAUUAUAAGUGUGCUCUCCACUGCCCACUGCCCACUGCCCACUGCCCACUGUCGGUGGCAGGCAGGUCAUUAUAUCUCUCCACCUCGCUAGUCCACCAAUUUUGGGGCGACAGCAAAAAAAUGUUUGAAAAUGGGCACUAUCUAUCUAUCUCUCUACGCCAUUUGGGUGAUACACUCGCAGCCCUUAUGAAUAUGAAAUCCAUGGAUGGAAAGAAUCGUCGAUGCAUUGAUUGAGAAUUAAACGUAUGGAUUGUUUACUGGGUCUCGAGGAAGUUGCUUGUUUCUGGGUUCUCUGAAAAUUGGACGCAAAGGCGAUAUUGACGUGCCUCAAUUUGAAGACAUAGUUAGAGGAAUUUCUAGCUCUGUGCUCGGAUUGAGCCGCGUCAAUAUCCCCUUCCUCUUCUUCUGCUCUGCUAACUCACUUCCAAGUGCUGCAUAUCUUUUUUCAGACGUCCGGUCCGGUUCAAUUGUGCAGAGUUCCAGCGACUACUUCUCUCCAUCAUAAUUGCGACUGUACAUUCUCUUCUCUCUUCAUUCAUGUCUGGCUUUUGACAACUGGCACAAAUUAAUAAUAUCCCACAAUAUCUUUGGAA